UACGAAGGGGCUAGCGUUGCUCGGAAUCACUGGGCGUAAAGCGCACGUAGGCGGAUUGUUAAGUCAGGGGUGAAAUCCUGGAGCUCAACUCCAGAACUGCCUUUGAUACUGGCGAUCUCGAGUCCGGGAGAGGUGAGUGGAACUGCGAGUGUAGAGGUGAAAUUCGUAGAUAUUCGCAAGAACACCAGUGGCGAAGGCGGCUCACUGGCCCGGUAUGACGCUGAGGUGCGAAAGCGUGGGGAG
rnacentral:rRNA from 1 species